CACGUAGGGCGCGAGCGUUGUCCGGAAUUAUUGGGCGUAAAGAGCUCGUAGGCGGCCUGUUGCGUCCGCUGUGAAAGCCCGGGGCUUAACCCCGGGUCGGCAGUGGAUACGGGCAGGCUAGAGGUAGGUAGGGGAGAAUGGAAUUCCCGGUGUAGCGGUGAAAUGCGCAGAUAUCGGGAGGAACACCGGUGGCGAAGGCGGUUCUCUGGGCCUUACCUGACGCUGAGGAGCGAAAGCGUGGGGGAGCGAACAGG
rnacentral:rRNA from 1 species